GUUCCAGGACUAUAUGACAUUCUGAGUAAUGUGUGAGAGUGGACCUCCUCACGGUUUCCUGGUGCUCAGAUCAUGUACAUCCUGCGCCGAGCAUCCUGGAUUGACACAGCCGAUGGCUCAGCCAAUCACAGAGCUCGUGUCACCACUAGGUCAACAGCAGGUCCAUAGCCAGCACUGUUGGGAUCCAUGGAGCACUCAAUGAUUUCUGGAGCCAAGUAACCUGGUGUCCCGCAAACCUCUAGGGGUGAAACAGAGGCAGUUUCUUCUAAACUACAUCAUCUACAAGCAUUACUUCCGAAAGCUUAUAUUUAAAGGUCACGGUGGACUAUACUGUGGGUGUGAAGAUACUCAACCACCUCCAGAAGAGCUCGCAUUAUCUUUCUAUCAAAGAGCAAGAAAAGAGACAGCAGAGUGCCAACAAUCAAGAUGUUACUUUGAAUAUUGAUACAGCAGCAGCAAUGAAUGGGUUUGAAUUGCUUUAUAAAUACAUUUCACUGAUUAACUUUAUACUUUAAAU